GCCCUGUUAGCUCAGUGGCAGAGCACUGGUCUCGUAAACCAGGGGUCGGGAGUUCGAUCCUCCUACAGGGCU
rnacentral:tRNA from 1 species